GAUGAACGCUAGCGGCAGGCUUAAUACAUGCAAGUCGAGGGGCAGCAGGGUGUAGCAAUACAUCGCUGGCGACCGGCGCACGGGUGCGUAACACGUAUGCAACCUACCUAUAUCAGGGGGAUAGCCCGGGGAAACUCGGAUUAAUACCGCAUAAUAUUGUGAAGAGGCAUCUUUUUACAAUUAAAAUUCAGAUGGAUAUAGAUGGGCAUGCGUUCGAUUAGCUAGUUGGUGGUGUAACGGACCACCAAGGCAACGAUCGAUAGGGGUACUGAGAGGUUUAACCCCCACACUGGUACUGAGACACGGACCAGACUCCUACGGGAGGCAGCAGUAAGGAAUAUUGGGCAAUGGAGGCAACUCUGACCCAGCCAUGCCGCGUGCAGGAUGACUGCCCUAUGGGUUGUAAACUGCUUUUGUACGGGAGAAAACCCUCGUUUGCGAACGGGGCUGAUAGUACCGUAAGAAUAAGCAUCGGCUAACUCCGUGCCAGCCGCCGCCGUAA
rnacentral:rRNA from 1 species